AUUGAACGCUGGCGGCAUGCUUUACACAUGCAAGUCGAACGGCAGCACGGGGGCAACCCUGGUGGCGAGUGGCGAACGGGUGAGUAAUAUAUCGGAACGUACCCGGAAAUGGGGGAUAACGUAGCGAAAGUUACGCUAAUACCGCAUAUGCCCUAAGGGGGAAAGCGGGGGAUUCGCAAGAACCUCGCGUUUUCGGAGCGGCCGAUAUCGGAUUAGCUAGUAGGUGAGGUAAAGGCUCACCUAGGCGACGAUCCGUAGCUGGUCUGAGAGGACGACCAGCCACACUGGAACUGAGACACGGUCCAGACUCCUACGGGAGCAGCAGUGGGGAAUUUUGGACAAUGGGCGCAAGCCUGAUCCAGCCAUGCCGCGUGAGUGAAG
rnacentral:rRNA from 1 species